rnacentral:rRNA from 1 species
GUCUACUGCCAUACCACCCUGAAUGUGUCCGAUCUCAUCUGAUCUCUGAAGCUAAGCAGGGUCAGGCCUGGUUAGUAGUUGGAU